AUAGGAAGGAACUCGGCAAACAUGAACUUCACCUGUUUACCAAAACAUCGCCUCUUGCAAUUAAGGAUAAGAGGUCCUGCCUGCACCAGUGUCGUUUUAAAUAAAGACCGCGGUAUUAUGACCGUGCAAAGGUAGCGUAAUCACAGGUCUUUUAAAUAAAGACCAGUAUGAAUGGCAGACGAAAGUUCAACUGUCUCCCUAAAUUAAUCAGUGAAAUUGAUUUCCUCCGUGCAGAAGCGGAGAUAAAAUUAUAAGACGAGAAGACCCUAUGGAGCUUUAAACAUAUAAUCAAUUGUAUUCCAUAAAAUCCGAAAGAUAAAAUAUAAAAUAAAACAAUAUGAUUAUUAAAAUUUUAGGUUGGGGGCGACCACGGAGAAAAACAAAACCUCCGAGAUGAAAAGAAUAUCUUAAUUUAAGAACCACAAUUCCAAAAAAUAAAAUAUUUAACAUAAUUGAUCCAAUAUUUUGAUCAACGAACCAAGUUACCCUAGGGAUAACAGCGCAAUCCUCUCCAAGAGUCCCUAUCCACGAGUGGGUUUACGACCUCGAUGUUGGAUCAGGACACCCCGAUGGUGCAGCCGCUAUUAAAGGUUCGUUUGUUCAACGAUUAAAGUCCUACGUGAUCUGAGUUAAGACCGGAGUAAUUCCAGGU
rnacentral:rRNA from 1 species